AGUGAACGCUGGCGGUAGGCCUAACACAUGCAAGUCGAACGGCAGCACAGGAGAGCUCGCUCUCUGGGUGGCGAGUGGCGGACGGGUGAGGAAUACAUCGGAAUCUACUCUGUCGUGGGGGAUAACGUAGGGAAACUUACGCAAAUACCGCAUACGACCUACGGGUGAAAGCAGGGGAACUUCGGUCCUUGCGCAAUAGAAUGAGCCGAUGUCGGAUUAGCCAGUUGGCGGGGUAAAGGCCCACCAAGGCGACGAUCCGUAGCUGGUCUGAGAGGAUGAUCAGCCACACUGGAACUUAGACACGGUCCAGACUCCUACGGGAGGCAGCAGUGGGUAAUAUUGGACAAUGGGCGCAAGCCUGAUCCAGCCAUACCGCGUGGGUGAAGAAGGCCUUCGGGUUGUAAAGCCCUUUUGUUGGGAAAGAAAUCCAGCUGGCUAAUACCCGGUUGGGAUGACGGUACCCAAAGAAUAAGCACCGGCUAACUUCGUGCCAGCCGCCGCCGUAA
rnacentral:rRNA from 1 species